rnacentral:rRNA from 1 species
AACGAACGCUGGCGGCAUGCCUAACACAUGCAAGUCGAACGAGACCUUCGGGUCUAGUGGCGCACGGGUGCGUAACGCGUGGGAACCUGCCCUUAGGUUCGGAAUAACUCCCCGAAAGGGGUGCUAAUACCGGAUAAUGUCUUCGGACCAAAGAUUUAUCGCCUUUGGAUGGGCCCGCGUUGGAUUAGCUAGUUGGUAGGGUAAAAGCCUACCAAGGCGACGAUCCAUAGCUGGUCUGAGAGGAUGAUCAGCCACACUGGGACUGAGACACGGCCCAGACUCCUACGGGAGGCAGCAGUGGGGAAUAUUGGACAAUGGGCGAAAGCCUGAUCCAGCAAUGCCGCGUGAGUGAUGAAGGCCUUAGGGUUGUAAAGCUCUUUUACCCGGGAUGAUAAUGACAGUACCGGGAUAAUAAGCUCCGGCUAACUCCGU